rnacentral:ncRNA from 2 species
GAACUCUGGAGAGAAGCCACCUUGAUCUAAAGGACGGCUCGCCGAAGGGAUAACAAUCUCAGGCGACAAGGACAGAGGGGGCUCU